rnacentral:rRNA from 1 species
UUCGGCGGCCAGAGCGAGGAAGUCACACCCGUUCCCUUUCCGAACACGGAAGUUAAGCUCCUCUGCGGCGAUGGUACUGUGGCGCUAGGCCACGGGAGAGUAGCACGUCGCCGGAU